rnacentral:lncRNA from 1 species
AUGCUUAAUUUCCAACUUUUUAACUCUUUACCACAGUGCUGCUUUUCUUCCUCCACGUCCAGAAGUAAUGGAGGUCAAGUGAAUGGCUUCUACUUCCUUGUUGCAGUGCGGGGUAAGAAAUUGGAAAUACGUUUGAUAGACACAAGAGGCUACCUUGUGAUUAGUACUUUUGAGAUUGGCCUGGCUGGUACUGAUGGAUUUACUUACUUCUCCUGAGGUCUCAUGAAUCAAAUAACAGAGGAUUUUUUUCUUAGUUGUUAUGUUACUUUGCCUGCUUUUGUCAGAUUACCUCCUCUUUCCAGAUGAUUAUUUCCAGCUGGAGAACAGUUAUCAUCACUGAAGUGCUUCUGGUCUGUUUCUUUUUGGCUGGCUAGCAGAAUCACUCUAACACUUUACAAUUAAGUUUCUGAUAUCUGUCAGUAUAACUUUCACCAAUCUCCCUACUUUAAUUAUAAUUAAAUCUAUCUCUAAAUAUGAUUUUUGUCUCUUCUCUGCACUCUUAAUGUCUCAUAAUGAAAUAGGUUCAAAAUCAACCAUUAAGUAGAAUAUCCAGGUAUAUUUUUGGAAUCUGUACAUCCAUACUGCAUUGACUGGUGCCUUCCAAGGUACCAAGCCUUGCAUGAGAAGGGGCUUCACUGUUCUUUGGGCCUGUUUCUGUUUAAGAAGUGUAAACUUGGUCUGGAAUUCAUGCUUGCUCCGUCAUCUGAAAUUUAAUUCCUCAGAAGUCUUGACUUGAGAGAUCUAGAACAUCUUUAUAUAUUUUGGGGUAUUCCUUUUCCUGUCACGGUUAGGAAUAGCUCUUAGGUUUGAGAGCAUCUUAGGUUUACUUUUUGUCUAGAAACUUGUGGGAAAGAUGUGAGAUGCACACUUAUUAUUCACUUUUGUUCCAAGUGAAAUACUUUCAUAUCCAUUGCAGUUCUUAUUUUUAUUGUUUUACGCUUGCUUUUGCCAAGCAUUUCGUCAGAAAGAUUUCACAAUCACUUGAUAAAUACCCACUUCAUUGCGCUUAAAGGUAACAAUCUACAAUUCUCUUAGCAAUUGCUGUUUUAAAUCAAUAAAGCAGUUAAGUAGAACA